GUAUAAUCAUUACAAAUAAGACGUACAAAAGACAACAACAAACGUAGAUGUAAACAACUAUAUUUCACUGGGUGGUAUUCGCCAUUUAUAAAAGCUAAUACGGUACAAUAGGCUACAAAAAGCCCCGAAAUGACAAAAUGAAAACAUUUGUAACACUACUGAUUAAUUAUAAUUAUGAAUAAAACAACAAAAAAACAACAAAAAAACGAAAGACAGCAGCAAAGGAUCGGCAUACUGUUGUGCGUGAAUGUUCAUCUGGGUUUAGCGAUAAAUAUUCGUUUUAUUUUAGUUUAUUGAGAACAAAAUCACAAUUUCGACAUUUUUGAUGGACCAUCACAUACAAUUAUAAUAAGGAGAUGUGGUUCUUUGUCAAUACAGACAAAUAUACAUAGAGCAAAGAACAAAUAUAAGCAAACAAAUCCAAAUUCGGAUCUAGGAUACAUUUUGAAAAAAAGGG
rnacentral:lncRNA from 1 species